AGUUAUUCAAUGAAAGCGCUUAAAAAUUUAAGGGGUGAUCAAUGAUGGGUACGAUCGUAUGUAAAGAUUGUCAGGGGAUUAUUGAGCAUUUCGAGUAUGAGAAAGUAACAACUCUUUAUGGCGUUUGCGGUUGCAGUCAACAUGAGGAAGAAGAAUAAAUCGGUU
rnacentral:sRNA from 1 species